CCUACGGGAGGCAGCAGUGGGGGAUCUUGGACAAUGGGGGGAACCCUGAUCCAGCGACGCCGCGUGAGUGAAGAAGUAUUUCGGUAUGUAAAGCUCUGUCAGCAGAGAAGAAAGAAAUGACGGUACCUUACCAAGAAGCCCCGGCUAACUACGUGCCAGCCGCCGCGGUAAUACGUAGGGGGCAAGCGUUAUCCGGAAUUACUGGGGGGAAAGGCAGCGUAGACGGUUUAGUAAGUCUGGAGUGAAAGCCCGGGGCACAACCCCGGGACUGCUCUGGAAACUAUUGAACUUGAGUGCAGGAGAGGGAAGCGGAAUUCCAAGUGUAGCGGUGAAAUGCGUAGAUAUAAGGAGGAACACCAGUGGCGAAGGCGGCUGUCUGGACUGUAACUGACGUUGAGGUUCGAAAGCGUGGGGAGCAAACAGGAUUAGAUACCCGUGUAGUC
rnacentral:rRNA from 1 species